rnacentral:lncRNA from 1 species
AACUCUCUCCCAUCUCUCUCGAUCUCGAUCUCUUUCUCCAUCUCUCUCUCCAUCUCUCUCGAUCUCGAGCCCUCUCUCCAUCACGAGCCCUCUAUCCAUCUCAAGCUCUCUCUCCAUCUCGAGCUCUCUCUCCAUCUCUCUCUGUCACGAGCUCUCUCUCCAUCUGCAAGUGUGAGAUGACUUGAUGGUGCAAUGCGAGGAUUCGAGCUCUGUAUCCAUCACACAAACCCAUCUCAAGCUCUCUCUUGAUCUCUGACACUAACC